AUGAUUUAAAAUAUCAAAUAUGAAAAUGUAGAAGUGUAUAGGACAGUUCUCUUUGUUUCAUAGUUUCCAGUAGGUCCACAAAUUUCAACGUUAACUGUGUUGCUGCUAGUGAAAUAGUUUAGACUUUUAGCCACAAGACUAGCCGGUAUCUCAAAUAUAAUGGAACAGAAUACUCAGCUGUCUUUCUUUUCUUGCUGCCAUAGCUACUGGAAUUGCAGUAGGAGGAGAGUGUAUAGCAUCCUUAGUGUCAAGACUUGCAAAGCUGGAAUUCCUGUUAGAGUUCUUAGCCAUUGGCAGUACUAAAAAGGCACAAAGAAGCUCUGUCGUUCUCCAUGCUCUGUGCCUAUGCAGGAGACCAUCAUGUUUCUACCUCUGUACAUGCUGGUUUUUGUGGAAUACACAACUCCAGUGUUUUUUCUACAUACACUUCUCCUUUCUCCUUUCAUUUGCAGUAUUAUGUUUUAAAAUUUAUAUGUGCUUAUCUGAAAAUACCAGUGCAUCCAAGCCUCCUUUUAUGACACAUCAAAUUAGUCAUUAUAUUUGAAAUUUACACAAGUGAAUUGAAAGGCAGAAACAUAUUGAUCAAUGCAGCUAUGUACAGUACAAUACCUGAUGAACAUUUAGGGUUGUGGUGUAGGUUAGUUAGUUCCGUGUUUUCAUAUGGUGGGUAUUCUUUCAUCAAGAUAGUAUGUUAAUGUAUUUUGGAAACUCACAGGGAGAAAAGAUCUUGGAAACAGGCUGAAGCACAUUCCUAUUAUGAUGAACAAAUACAGGAAGAGGUAAAAAAAAAAAAAA